AUGAUGGCUGCCCCCAAGGGUCUUCUGCUGGUUGCUCUAGUCUUGCUACUUGGUAAGUUCUGGGCAUAGGACUCCCUUGGGAGAGGGGGUGGUGGAGCAAGGGCCUUCCUCCUGCCCUCUCUGCCCAUGACCAAGCCUCCCUUGGCCAGCUGUGCACCUGGUAAGGCCGCUCCGGGAUAACCACCACCCCAGGCCUGGGCUGCAGGUCUUGGCAUCCUGAAGAUACAAGCAAGAGGAGACUUCUUUCCUCAUAGCCUGUGCUUUGGGGAGGAUGCACAAGUGGCAGGUCCGAUGACAGGUGCUCCAACACCUUGUCCCCGGCCCCCCCUUACCAAACAAACAUAAUAAAGCAAAUAGACAACUGUCCUGGUAAACCAGGCUCCAAAGAGUUAAAGAAACCAAAGACUAAAUUCUUGGACUUACAGAAUAGCAGAUAAGAAAAGAAAGAACUUGCUGAAAAGCUGAAACUAAGACUGUGCCCCGAAGAGUAAGAAACCAGUAACAGAAAUUCUUGAGUUUGCAGGAUAGCAGAUAAGAAAAGAAACAGCUUGCCGAAACACGGACACUCCCUGCACUUACGAGAUCAAGAAAAAAACUGGCUGAUGGCCGGGCCCGGUGCCUCAAGCCUGUAACCCCAGCACUUUGGGAGGCCAAGGUUCUCACUCUGUCACCCAGGCUAAAGUGCAGUGGU